rnacentral:rRNA from 1 species
UGAGUACGAGCGGCUACGGCCGCGAAGUGGAUGAUGUCAAGCUUCCAAGAAAAGCCCUAUACCCGUUAAGGCAUGAUGGCCUGUACCCGAAACCGACACAGGUGGGGUGGUAGAGAAUACCGAGGGGCGCGAGGUAACUCUCUCUAAGGAACUCGGCAAAAUGGCCCCGUAACUUCGGGAGAAGGGGUGCCACCGCGAGGUGGUCGCAGUGAAGAGGCCCAGGCGACUGUUUACCAAAAACACAGGUCUCCGCUAAGUCGCAAGACGAUGUAUGGGGGCUGACGCCUGCCCAGUGCCGGAAGGUUAAGGAAGCUGGUCAGCGCAAGCGAAGCCGGCGACUGAAGCCCCGGUGAACGGCGGCCGUAACAAUAACGGUCCUAAGGUAGCGAAAUUCCUUGUCGGGUAAGUUCCGACCCGCACGAAAGGCGUAACGAUCUGGGCGCUGUCUCGGAGAGAGGCUCGGCGAAAUAGAAUUGUCUGUGAAGAUGCGGACUACGUGCACCCGGACAGAAAGACCCUAUGAAGCUUUACUGUAGCUUGGUAUUGUGCUCGGGCUCGGAAUGCGCAGGAUAGGUGGGAGGCUUUGAUCCAUUGCUUGCGGGUGAUGGUGAGCCACUGGUGAGAUACCACUCUUUCCGAGCUAGAGUUCUAACAGCAACCCGUUAUCCGGGUGCUGGACAGUAUCAGGGGGGCAGUUUGACUGGGGCGGUCGCCUCCUAAAGGGUAACGGAGGCGCGCAAAGGUCUGCUCAGGCUGGUUGGAAAUCAGCCGACGAGUGUAAAAGCAGAAGCAGGCUUGACUGUGAGACCUACAAGUCGAACAGGGAGGAAACUCGGCUUUAGUGAUCCGACGGUUCUGCGUGGAAGGGCCGUCGCUCAACGGAUAAAAGUUACUCUAGGGAUAACAGGCUGAUCUCCCCCAAGAGUUCACAUCGACGGGGAGGUUUGGCACCUCGAUGUCGGCUCAUCGCAACCUGGGGCUGAAGUCGGUCCCAAGGGUUGGGCUGUUCGCCCAUUAAAGCGGUACGCGAGCUGGGUUCAGAACGUCGUGAGACAGUUCGGUCCAUAUCCGGUGCACGCGCAGGAAUAUUGAGAGGAUUUCUCCCUAGUACGAGAGGACCGGGAAGAACGCACCUCUGGUGUGCCAGUUAUCGUGCCAACGGUAAACGCUGGGUAGCCAUGUGCGGAGUGGAUAACCGCUGAAAGCAUCUAAGUGGGAAGCCCACCUCAAGAUGAGUAUUCCCAUGGGGUAACCCAGUAAGGUCACGGGAAGAACACCCGUUGAUAGGCUCUACGUGGAAGCGCAGUAAUGUGUGAAGCGGAGGAGUACUAAUAGACC